UAUCUAUUUCAGUUUUAAUCAGCUGAUUAAUAUCUCCUGAUUGGUUCCAUUUAAAUGCAAUGUUUACCAAUGUUUUGUAAAUAUCGUGCAAAAACUAUAUCAUUGAAAUUUUUUUUUUACAAAAUAAUUUAUAUAAUUUAAUUUUGUAUAAUUUUUUAUAAUUAUUUUAAUAAUAAAAAUGGAAAUAGAAGAACCAAUAAAAGAAAAUGCUGUAGAGGUUAUUAGGGAAGGAUUGAGAGAAUUGAUUCAUAUAGAAAGAAAGGAAAAUCGUAUGAAAACAGUGAAUAAAAGUCGUGUGGCUUUAGGAAAUAUUAUAACAAAUUCAUCUUUUACAACAGAGUUUGUAAUUGAAAAAGCAAAAGCUCUUAAAAAAAAAGCAUUAUCUAUUGAAGAGUAUAAAGAGCUUCAAAAUGCCCUUAUUCAGAGUGAAGAAAAUGUUAAUUCGUUUUUAAAAGUGGAUAAUAUCUUAUUUGCACUGGUACGUGAUUUCUCUGGUAAUGAUCCUGUUUUACAAUUAUGUGCUAUUAGUUGUUCUUGUAAUAUAGCACUUGGAAAUGCUAAAGCAUGUACUUCAUUAACGAAAAGCAUUGGACCAUAUCUUAUUACAAAAUUAGAUACUUUAAAUUAUUCUUUAUUGGAAAUAUGUAUAUGGACAAUAGGAAAUUUAAUUUCAGGAAGUAAUAAAGCAUUUGAAAUUCUUCAUGCCCAAGAUUGUUUGAAAUAUAUUAUAUCCUUGAUGUACAAUUGUGAUAAUGUAAUUAUAUCUUCAGUAGCUUAUACUGCUAUGCAUUAUGUACAUAUUGGUUUUCAAUACAUCUUAAAAGAAGAUAUUAUUGAACUUAUGAAUGCUACUAUAAAGAGAAACUUUUCAUUUGAAGAUUCAUAUUUUAUUUGGUUGCUUGCAUUAUUAUCUUCAGAAAUAUCGUGUCAUAUAUAUUUAUAUUCUGCAAUCCCUUUGAUAAUUGAUUAUUUAUAUGAAAAUAGCAUAAACAAUAUCACAUCAAUAAUAGAGAUCACAGCAUGUAUAAGAAUAUUAGCUAAUAUUGUACAAGAAACAUCUGGACGAUUGGCAAAGUUUCUAUUGGAAAAUUCAAAAUAUUCAUUGUCAAAUUUAAAAACAUUAUUAAAUAAAUUGCUUUUAUGUCAGUAUGUACAUAUUAGGAAAGAAACAUUAUGGCUAAUAGGUAAUCUUUAUAAUCAUAAUUCUGUUGAUAUAAAAAAGAUUAUACAAGAAGUUAUUUCUGAACCAGUUUUGAAGCAAACAGUCUUAUAUACAAUUCAACAGUAUCAAUAAAUGCAAACUCUAUUAGUUAAAUGAUUAUGUGAAUAAAUUGUCGUUCUAACUCUAUAGAAGUAUUUUUCUCUGGUACAUCCUCAAUACAAGGUAUUUUUAUUAUAUUAAAGUAUAUGCGACCCAUAAUAUGCGCUGUCGGAUGUGUCGUGGCUUUUAAACAACGAUACAGCGCUUCAUCACAUACACAGUGUGACCUAGAAAGGACAAAGAUCAUGACUGCGACAACAUCUGAAAAAAUUAAACAUAUUGAAAACCGUACUUUAAUUAAACAUAAUUUUCUAGUAAUUUUAAAUCUAUUUUGACAUAUAUUGACCUAUCAAUUUGAACUUCUUGGCCCAAAUCAUGGUAAUUCUCGGCUAUAUCUCCGGCACCACACCAUUUUGUACCUAUGAUAUCAUCAAAAUUUAUCAUCAAAAUAUAAAUAAAUUACAAAUAUAACAA